CGCUUGCGCCCCGAGCCCUGGGUGCCCAUGUCCACCGGCCGCGUCGCCCGCCGCGCCGCGGGACCCACGCCCCUCUCGGGUAAGGGCCCGAGUAACUGCUAGCUGUCUGUACUGAAUUAGGGAAGAAGAAAUGUGCCGGCGGAAGCACAGUAACCAAUAGGUACUGGUAUUUUGGGGGUGACAUGGUCCUGGUUGGAGGACCAUCUCUUGCUCUGCCCUCAGCCCUGCUGGAGGCUCGCUGCUCCCUUAGCCCGUGAUGCUGGGUGAAGACUCGUCUUUGCUCAGGCUUGUUCCCAUGGCUUCACUCAUUCAUUCCCCCACACCUGCUUCCUGGCAGGUGCUGCGCCGGAAGCCGGGGCAGAACUGCAAAGGACACAGACAGAGCCGCUGUUCUCUCAGGACUUACCUGAGAUACCUGGAACUCCUCUUCCAAAGCCACAUCCAAGCUCCAACAUCUCCUUUCUUUUUUGAUUGACAUAUAUACACUAAUAUGUAUAAAAUAGAUAACCAAUAAGAA